CAGUUCAAGGUAAUCAAUUUAUUAUACAGCUUUUUUUAGAGUUAUCUGGAAAAAAAAGAAAGAAAGGUGAAACCGAAAAAAAUAGAGAAAUUACGAGACCAGCUUCAACAUGUGUGUUAGCAAAAACGUGUGUUAACAUUCAAGAAUGUUUUAUAAGUUCAAUUUAAUUUUAGAUUCACGUUAUAAAAAUAUCCGGAAUUCCGGAAAUAUCCGGAAAAAGAUAAUCCCUGGAUUCACGUUAUACCAACAACCUGCAGGUCACGAUUCAUUUACAAGCCGCCAACAACAUACGCUGGUAGAGACGUUUAACAGAAAAAUACAUUUAGAUUUUAAAAAAAUAAAAAUACAAGUUUAAAUAUAAAAGUAAAAGUGCUAAAAAGACCUUCGACCAUAUAAACUGAUAGACACGCCUUACCGCAAAUUUAAUUCACAAAGUUUUGAAGCCAACAUCUUUUGGCGCGUGACGUCACGUUUGGGCAUUUAACAAUUUUUAAUAUCGAUUUAGGGUUAAAAUAGCUUAAUGUAUUUAACACUUUUAAAGUUUUAAUAUUUGUUAUGUAUAUUAUUUUGUUUAAAUUUUGAUUUUCAAAUAGAAUAUAGGUAUAUAAAGAUCA